AAUGAACGCUGGCGGCGUGCCUAACACAUGCAAGUCGAACGAGAAAGCCCGCAAGGGUGAGUACAGUGGCGCACGGGUGAGUAAUACAUAGGAAUCUGCCUCUGAGUGAAGAAUACCCUAGAGAAAUUUAGGUUAAUACUGCAUAAGCCCAGAAAUGGGGAAAGGUGGCCUCAAGCUACCGCUGAGAGAUGAGCCUAUGGCCUAUUAGCUAGUUGGCGGGGUAAAGGCCCACCAAGGCGACGAUCCGUAGCUGGUCUGAGAGGAUGAUCAGCCACACUGGAACUGAGACACGGUCCAGACUCCUACGGGAGGCAGCAGUGGGGAAUAUUGGACAAUGGGCGCAAGCCUGGUCCAGCCAUACCGCGUGGGUGAAGAAGGCCUUCGGGUUGUAAAGCCCUUUUGUUGGGAAAGAAAUCCAUCUGGUUAAUACCCGGGUGGGAUGACGGUACCCAAAGAAUAAGCACCGGCUAACUUCGUGCCAGCCGCCGCGGUAA
rnacentral:rRNA from 1 species